AUACAUCCUAGCUGUUUGUGGACAGUGAGAAUGAAUGAGAACUGCUUAGAGGAAUAUGAGUUUGAGAGUUGUGUUCCUCCUUUAUUUAUAGCAGAAUUUCUGCUGGUGGCGCGACUUUUCCCCUCUCUUUCGUUUUCAUUCAUCGUGUUGACCAAUUAUGAUAGUCAAUAGUUGCAUGAAUGGACUAAAAUCAUUGACCAUAGUGAAAAUCAAGAUUCAACAAUGGUUUUUCAAUUGAAUUGGGUAUUUAUUCUUGGGAGCAGAAUAGAUAGAUGAACUAAGAAACUCUACUUGUUUGGAUUUUGAGGGGUUGCUGCUGGAGAGGAAGCCAUGAAUGAUUUUGAGCAAACCCCCUAGAUCUAGCUACUUUCAGAUUUUGAAAGAAGGCACUUUGUUCACAAUUGGGUGCUGAUGUUCACCAUUAAGCACAUGGCAGGCUACCACUCAGUUUUAUCGAAUUGAUAGGUGCACUGCUCAGUUCCGGGUACCGAGUGGUGCAAAGGCAGGCCCUGUCAGUUCCUAAAAAUGACAGGUGCAAAGCUAUGUACUUAAUGGAGAACGUUUCACUUAAUGGAAUGAGCAGCUUUGGGAUAUAUGUACUAGACUAUUGGAAAACAGGUAAAUAAACUUCUCUUCAUAUACAAAUUUUUAUUUGUUGUUUUUCAUUUUUAUUUUAUUGGGAACACUUUUUGGAAGUUUGGUACACAAGCAAGACAGUGAUACUCCCUAUGUGGUUCAGCUACAACUGCUGGAACACAGCUAAGUUUGCUUCUUGGGUAAAGUUUCACCAAAAAUAACCUUGUUUAGCUUUUGUUAUAUUGCUGACUUUGGUACUAUACUAUCGGAUUUUGCUUCGGGACAUAUGUAUUAUACUAUUGGAAAACAGGUAAAUAAGCUUCUCUUUCUAUACAAAUUUUUAUUUCUUGUUUUUCAUUUUUGUUGAAGUACACAAACAAGGCAGUGAUAUUCCCUGUUUAGGUGCACAUUCUUAACGCUCUCAAUGUAUACUUAGUUUACCCUUAUAUUGAUAGAAUGCCUGAGUUUCUUUUUUGCUUGGUACUUGUUUAUAAUUUUUGUUCAAGGUUUCUACCCUUUCUUGCGAUGAGUGUCAGGUCAGUAUAUUUUUGCCUUUACAAAGAUAUUUUUGGUUAUUAAAGGUAAUCAUUUGUCAUUAACUCUAUGUUUACCAUAUUCUGCAUUGCUUUUUUUUCUAACUUGAUCUUCGGAGUAUCUUUUUUGUUUUUGCAAGUCUUGCCCUUAAUUAUUCUUCGCAUAAAAUUGUUUAUAACUUCGAGUGUCUUUCAUUUUUUUUUCAUUUUUUUGCAGGUCUUGCAUUUGCAUUCUUAACUCUGGCUCUAUAUUUGUUAACCCUUACUUCACAUUUAUUAUGUUUUGCAUGUAAAUGUUUCUAACUUGAGCGCCGGAGUAUCUUUUCUGUUUUUUUUUUGCAGGUCUUGCCUUUUUAUCCUAACUCUAACUCCAUGUUUAAUAUCUCUCUACGUUUAUUAUGUAUUGCAUAAAACUGUUUCCAACUUGAGCGUUGGAGUAUCUUUUUGUUUUCUUUUGCAGGUCUUGGCUUUGUAUUCCUUACUCAACUCUAUGUUUAUUAACCUUAACUCUACGUUUAUUAUGUAUUGCCUAAAAUUGUUUCUAACUUGAGCGUCGGAGUAUCUUUUUUGUUUUUUUUGCAGGUCUUGUCUUUGUAAUUCCUAUGACCAAUUCAAUUAGCAGAGUUGUUGAAACAGAAUGCUGGUGCCUUGUGGGGAAUGUCAUCUGUUUGGCAGGUCUUGCCCAUAAUUAUUUCUUCGCUUUAACUCUAUGUCUGUUGUGAGGCGAUUGAUUUAUCUAGGAUGUUCUUCGGGAAUAUAAGACCGGAUUAUCAAUUGGUUCCUGUUCACCUUGAUUAUUAUCAAAAGAAGGAACAAAAACUUUAGAGUUUUUCUGUGGGAG